CCUUCCCCGCGGCGCUGGCCGAGGGCCGCUUCCGCGCGCACCUGCGCGAGGUGGCCCUCAUGCUCACGUCCCGCCACCAGGACAAGUACAUGCUCUUCAACCUGUCCGAGAAGCGCCGCGACAUCGCCCGCCUCAACCCCAGGGUGCAGGAUUUUGGGUGGCCGGAGCUGCACGCGCCGCCCCUGGACAAGCUGUGCUCCGUGUGCAAGGCCAUGGAGGGGUGGCUGCGCGCGCACCCCCAGCACGUGGCCGUGCUGCACU